rnacentral:rRNA from 1 species
UCAAGAUGAGAUUUCCCAACUUCGGUUUAUAAGAUCCCUCGAAGAUGACGAGGUUAAUAGGUUCGAGGUGGAAGCGUGGUGACACGUGGAGCUGACGAAUACUAAUCGAUCGAAGACUUAAUCAA